rnacentral:sRNA from 1 species
UUUUAGCCCAGAUGGGAACGGCAUCCUUUUUAUCUCGUUUUCCAAAUGAGAUAAAAAGAUACAGUGUACAGCUGGAUUAGCU